GCGACUUAUAUUCUGUAGCAAGGUUAACCGAAUAGGGGAGCCGAAGGGAAACCGAGUCUUAACUGGGCGUUAAGUUGCAGGGUAUAGACCCGAAACCCGGUGAUCUAGCCAUGGGCAGGUUGAAGGUUGGGUAACACUAACUGGAGGACCGAACCGACUAAUGUUGAAAAAUUAGCGGAUGACUUGUGGCUGGGGGUGAAAGGCCAAUCAAACCGGGAGAUAGCUGGUUCUCCCCGAAAGCUAUUUAGGUAGCGCCUCGUGAAUUCAUCUCCGGGGGUAGAGCACUGUUUCGGCAAGGGGGUCAUCCCGACUUACCAACCCGAUGCAAACUGCGAAUACCGGAGAAUGUUAUCACGGGAGACACACGGCGGGUGCUAACGUCCGUCGUGAAGAGGGAAACAACCCAGACCGCCAGCUAAGGUCCCAAAGUCAUGGUUAAGUGGGAAACGAUGUGGGAAGGCCCAGACAGCCAGGAUGUUGGCUUAGAAGCAGCCAUCAUUUAAAGAAAGCGUAAUAGCUCACUGGUCGAGUCGGCCUGCGCGGAAGAUGUAACGGGGCUAAACCAUGCACCGAAGCUGCGGCAGCGACGCUUAUGCGUUGUUGGGUAGGGGAGCGUUCUGUAAGCCUGUGAAGGUGUACUGUGAGGUAUGCUGGAGGUAUCAGAAGUGCGAAUGCUGACAUAAGUAACGAUAAAGCGGGUGAAAAGCCCGCUCGCCGGAAGACCAAGGGUUCCUGUCCAACGUUAAUCGGGGCAGGGUGAGUCGACCCCUAAGGCGAGGCCGAAAGGCGUAGUCGAUGGGAAACAGGUUAAUAUUCCUGUACUUGGUGUUACUGCGAAGGGGGGACGGAGAAGGCUAUGUUGGCCGGGCGACGGUUGUCCCGGUUUAAGCGUGUAGGCUGGUUUUCCAGGCAAAUCCGGAAAAUCAAGGCUGAGGCGUGAUGACGAGGCACUACGGUGCUGAAGC
rnacentral:rRNA from 1 species